GUAUUAACUGAAUGAUGGUCACCAUAAUGUUGCUCUACUUCUCCCCCUUCCUCUCUCCAUUUUUCAGGUUUUUGCUGAGUUUAAUCGUAUUGCCAGUAAGAAUCUUGAAGGUCAAUUUUAUGAAGCCCUAGACCAGCACACUCCACGCUUCAUUGAGCUUUUCAAGUCCAAAAAAGGAACUACAGGACAAAAACUGACAGACUUGAUGCAGCACAUAAACUGGGUGUCUCCAGAUGUGACAGCACUUCGCUCUGUUGUCCUCAAAGGACUUCCUAUUGUACUUGGUGAUGAUUCCAGUGAGGUUUACAAGGCUUGCUCUGAUACAGCGAAAGAUGAAGCACUCGCCUCAGUGACAGUUGGGGUGCUGACUGUGGUCAGUGAAGAUACUGAGCAGCAG